rnacentral:rRNA from 1 species
UACGUAGGGUGCAAGCGUUGUCCGGAAUUAUUGGGCGUAAAGAGCUCGUAGGCGGUUUGUUGCGUCGGCUGUGAAAUCCCGAGGCUCAACCUCGGGUCUGCAGUCGAUACGAGCAAACUAGAGUGUUGCAGGGGAGACUGGAAUUCCUGGUGUAGCGGUGAAAUGCGCAGAUAUCAGGAGGAACACCGGUGGGCGAAGGCGGGGUC